GGUUAAGCGACUAAGCGUACACGGUGGAUGCCCUGGCAGUCAGAGGCGAUGAAGGACGUGCUAAUCUGCGAUAAGCGUCGGUAAGGUGAUAUGAACCGUUAUAACCGGCGAUUUCCGAAUGGGGAAACCCAGUGUGAUUCGUCACACUAUCAUUAACUGAAUCCAUAGGUUAAUGAGGCGAACCGGGGGAACUGAAACAUCUAAGUACCCCGAGGAAAAGAAAUCAACCGAGAUUCCCCCAGUAGCGGCGAGCGAACGGGGAGGAGCCCAGAGCCUGAAUCAGUGUGUGUGUUAGUGGAAGCGUCUGGAAAGGCGCGCGAUACAGGGUGACAGCCCCGUACACAAAAAUGCACAUAUUGUGAGCUCGAUGAGUAG
rnacentral:rRNA from 1 species